CCUACGGGAGGCAGCAGUGGGGAAUAUUGCACAAUGGGGGGAACCCUGAUGCAGCGACGCCGCGUGAGUGAAGAAGGAUUUCGGUAUGUAAAGCUCUAUCAGCAGGGAAGAAAAUGACGGUACCUGACUAAGAAGCCCCGGCUAACUACGUGCCAGCAGCCGCGGUAAUACGUAGGGGGCAAGCGUUAUUCGGAUUUACUGGGUGUAAAGGGAGCGUAGACGGUUAUGCAAGUCUGGAGUGAAAGCCCGUGGCUCAACCACGGGACUGCUUUGGAAACUGUGUUGCUGGAGUGCAGGAGGGGUGAGCGGAAUUCCUAGUGUAGCGGUGAAAUGCGUAGAUAUUAGGAGGAACACCGGUGGCGAAGGCGGCUUACUGGACUGUAACUGACGUUAAGGCGCGAAGGCGUGGGGAGCAAACAGGAUUAGAUACCCGGGUAGUC
rnacentral:rRNA from 1 species